rnacentral:rRNA from 1 species
AUUGAACGCUGGCGGUAGGCCUAGCACAUGCAAGUCGAACGGCAGCACAGUAAGAGCUUGCGCUUACGGGUGGCGAGUGGCGGACGGGUGAGGAAUACGUCGGAAUCUACUGUGGCGUGGUGGAUAACGUAGGGAAAAUUACGCUAAUACCGCAUAGGACCUACGGGUGAAAGCAUGGGAUCUUCGGACCUUGCGCGAUUGAAUGAGCCGAUGUCGGAUUAGCUAGUUGGCGGGGUAAAGGCCCACCAAGGCGACGAUCCGUAGCUGGUCUGAGAGGAUGAUCAGCCACACUGGAACUGAGACACGGUCCAGACUCCUACGGGAGGCAGCAGUGGGGAAUAUUGGACAAUGGGCGCAAGCCUGAUCCAGCCAUACCGCGUGGGUGAAGAAGGCCUUCGGGUUGUAAAGCCCUUUUGUUGGGAAAGAAAAGCAGCAGGUUAAUACCCCGCUGUUCUGACGGUACCCAAAGAAUAAGCACCGGCUAACUUCGUG